GAGGUCUGAUAAUCCGGCUCUAUCCACGU
rnacentral:sRNA from 1 species